AACUCCCUGCUGAUUCUCUCACUCUUUUGGAGACAAACAUGUAAAAGUACACUUUACUCAGGUAAUCAAAUGAGAGCUAGAAAGGAGGCUACUGAUUUUUAAUGGAGCAUAUUUGUUUUUGUCCACCGAACUACUGCCCACUAAGUUUGAAAAAAGACACCAGUAAACCAAGUCUCCUCUCUUGAAAUAUAGCCAAAGAACCGAGGAUCAUUUGGGAGACAGAGACUUUCCCUUCUUGACAGCAACCACUUACAGACUGAAGAUAGGGAGGGUGUCUAUUAAAGGCAAUCCUGACCAGUGGCAAUGGAGCAUAUGAACUCAAGGAACUUUACUUACCAAGGUGAUUGACAAUAUAUCGGCCCAGGAAUCCUGUUGCUCCAAACACAGUGGCCACGACCCCACUGAAUGAGGAACGUCCACCUUUCCCAUGAGGUAUGAGGGCAUGAUGAAGCUGGCGAUGGGGUGGGCCAUGACACACAGAUGUGGCUACUGCAGUAAUGGCAGAACCU